AGAGGACCGGUCUUUGGUCAAGGGUAUACGAGUUGCUGCGCUCCCCUGCUAGAACCUCCAAACAAGCUCUCAAAGUCGAAAUGUUUUUUAUCUUCAUCAGAGUCAUGGUGACAAGUGAAUACGUUUGCCAAAAUGCAGAGCUGUAUCCUCAGAAUUAGUAUGUUU
rnacentral:snRNA from 1 species